GAUGAACGCUAGCUACAGGCUUAACACAUGCAAGUCGAGGGGCAGCAUUAUCGAAGCUUGCUUUGAUAGAUGGCGACCGGCGCACGGGUGAGUAACGCGUAGGAAACCUGCCCUAUACUGGGGGAUAGCAGUUGGAAACGACUGAUAAUACCGCAUAAGCGCACAGCUUUGCAUGAAGCAGUGUGAAAAACUCCGGUGGUAUAGGAUGGUCCCGCGUCUGAUUAGCUAGUUGGUGAGGUAACGGCCCACCAAGGCGACGAUCAGUAGCCGGCCGUGAGAGGGUGUACGGCCACAUUGGGACUGAGACACGGCCCAAACUCC
rnacentral:rRNA from 1 species